UACGGAGGGGGCUAGCGUUGUUCGGAAUUACUGGGCGUAAAGCGCGCGUAGGCGGACCUGCAAGUCGGGGGUGAAAGCCCGAGGCUCAACCUCGGAACUGCCUUCCGAUACUGCGGGUCUCGAGUCCGGGAGAGGUGAGUGGAAUUCCUAGUGUAGAGGUGAAAUUCGUAGAAUAUUAGGAAGAACACCAGUGGCGAAGGC
rnacentral:rRNA from 1 species